rnacentral:rRNA from 1 species
UGCGUAGGCGGUUUAUCAAGUCAACUGUUAAAUUUCUCAGCUUAACUGGGAGUGUGCGGUAGAAACUGGUAAACUAGAGGAUGGAAGAGAGAAGUAGAAUUCUCGGAGUAGCGGUAAAAUGCGCAGACCUCGAGAGGAACACCGAUGGCGAAGGCAGCUUCUUGGUCCAUUUCUGACGCUGAGGCACGAAAGCGUGGGGAGCAAACA